UACGGAGGGAGCUAGCGUUGUUCGGAAUUACUGGGCGUAAAGCGUGCGCAGGCGGUUUGCUAAGACAGGUGUGAAAGCCCCGAGCUUAACUUGGGAAUUGCGCUUGUGACUGGCGGGCUGGAGUGUGGCAGAGGGAGGUGGAAUUCCACGUGUAGCAGUGAAAUGCGUAGAGAUGUGGAGGAACACCGAUGGCGAAGGCAGCCUCCUGGGCCAGCACUGACGCUCAUGCACGAAAGCGUGGGGAGCAAACAGG
rnacentral:rRNA from 1 species